rnacentral:rRNA from 1 species
AUGAAUACUAGUCGUGGGGGUCAUAGCCUCGGUGACGCAGCAAACGCAAUAAGUAUUCCACCUGGGAGUACGUCGCAAGAAUGAUACUCAAAGGAAUUGACGGGACCCGCACAAGCGGUGAGCAUGUGGUUUAAUUCGAAGCAACGCGAAGAACCUACGUGCUCUGACAUCCCCCUGACCGGCGUGUAAUGGCGCUUCUCUUCGGAGCAGGGGAGACAGGUGGUGCAUGGUGUCGUCAGCUCGUGUCGUGAGAUGUUGGGUUAAGUCCCGCAACGAGCGCAACCGUUGUUGUUAGUAGCCAGCGGUCAGGCCGGGCACUCUAACGAGACUGCCGGGGUAACCCGGAGGAAGGUGGGGAUGACGUCAAAUCAUCAUGCCCCUUACGAGCAGGGCUACACACGUGCUACAAUGGCGUAAACAAAGAGAGGCGAGACGGUGACGUUAAGCAAAUCUCAAAAAUAACGUCUCAGUUCGGAUUGUAGUCUGCAACUCGACUACAUGAAGCUGGAAUCGCUAGUAAUCGCGAAUCAGAAUGUCGCGGUGAAUACGUUCCCGGGUCUUGUACACACCGCCCGUCACACCAUGGAAGUCGGUAACGCCCGAAGUCAGUGACCCAACCGCAAGGAGGGAGCUGCCGAAGGCGGGACUGGUAACUGGGGUGAAGUCGUAACAAGGUAACCUA